UUUAUACCAUUAUUAUUAUUGCUUUAAGCAGUGACCAAAAUAUUUUCUUUGUUAGCACAAGAAUGAGCAACAAAGGCAAAAGAGAAGCAGAAGCUGGGAUACAUAUGAUGACAUCAAAAAGACAUCACACAUUUAUGAGAAACUCUGGAAAGAUACUCCUAGCCUCUAAGGCAGCCUCAAUGAGGUAGAUAGCUGAGAGUGAUGUCUGGAGACAUGAAGCCCUGACAUGCAGUAAGCGCAGACUGAAUACACAGAACGCUG
ensembl:lncRNA